rnacentral:misc_RNA from 1 species
CAACAAAACAUACCAAAACAUAAAAGUGAUUCAUCUGUAAUUAGGUUUUUGUGGUUCGAGAAAAUUUCAGAAUUGCGUGUUCUAAUAAUAGUAAUUAUAUUAAAACCUAAAAUAUAGAAGUCGUUAAAUAUAUUACCCGAUAAUGUCUGUAAAUACGGCACACGCCAAUAAUGGAGUGUUGAUUCAUGCCGGAGAGUACAUAUUACUGCAUAGUGAUGGCGUUACUAUGGAUUUCUCCGGUCAGGAUAAUCCUGUCUUUAAAGGCUCAAAGCAAGGACGUAUUUAUCUGACGUCACACCGGCUGAUAUUUAACAACAAAAAACCGGCGGAUCAGCUGCAAUCUUUUAGCGCACCUUUUAUAGCACUUUCAGAUGUUGAGUUGGAGCAGCCAGUCUUUGGCGCCAAUUACAUUAAGGCCAAGGUUCGUGCGCAACCAAACGGAAAUUUUAUUGGCGAGGUAAAGUUCAAGUUGCAUUUUAAGUCCGGUGGAGCGAUUGAGUACGGUCAGGCUUUGCUACGCGCUGCUAGUACUGCUCAAAGCAAUUACCAUCGUGGUGGCGCUCCAAACGAUGAUCCACCACCAUAUACGCCAGCAGGCGCUUGGCAUGAGGCUCCACCACCGGCCUAUCAGCCACCACCAGGCUACUACGGUUGGCUGCCUACACAUGAGGCGUUCAGUGGCCCAGCCAACGGCACGGUGUUUGUAAGCGAUAAUCCACCACCAUAUCCAGGCAUUGGCGGACCACCAGCUUAUACACCACAACCAUAUGCGCAACCCGGCUAUAACCCACAACAGCCAUAUGCAGGCUAUAAUCCACAACAGCCGCAAGGAGCUUGCAACCCACAGCCUCAAUACGGAAACAACGAUGCACCAGCCUGGAACGGCUUUUCAGCACCACCAUCUGAACAGCCACAACAACAACCACCACCUGGAAAUCAGCCACCACCCUACGCGGCUGGUGGAUACGGCCAACCAGGCGGUUAUCCACCGGGCGCCCCCGGUGCCUACAAUCCAUCAUAUAACCCCGGUUACAAUCCGGCUUACAAUCCCGGCCAUCAACCCGGUGGCUAUCCUCAGCCGGGAGGUUACCCACCACCAGGCGGUGCACCAGGUGGAGCUGCGGCCGGUGCAAUGGGCUUUGGCAUGCCACCAGCAAUGUUUUAAAAAAGUGUCGCACAAGUAUGCAACCGCCUAAACAACAAAUAUUUAACGUCGCAAAAGCCAUACGUCCAAAAAUCAAAUUCCUCACCAGGUAAUACCACAUAUUAUUACUAUCCGUACUAUACACCACAGCCUUGUGUCAAUUUUGCGUUUAUACCACUACCAGUUAUUUUCCC